rnacentral:rRNA from 1 species
GCAGGAGAGGAGAGUGGAAUUCCUAGUGUAGCGGUGAAAUGCGUAGAUAUUAGGAGGAACACCAGUUGCGAAGGCGGCUCUCUGGACUGUAACUGACGCUGAGGCACGAAAGCGUGGGGAGCAAACAGGAUUAGAUUCCCUGGUAGUCCACGCUGUAAACGAUGAGUACUAGGUGUCGGGGGUUACCCCCUUCGGUGCCGCAGCUAACGCAUUAAGU